GUGAGGAUGAUGAAGAAACAGUUGGCUGCUGCUUGACUUUCUCCUGAUUUUGCCAGCCCCAAGCCCCUCACCUGUACCAGAAGGAGACAAAUCUACGGUGGAAAAUGCCAUUAACGAGAUGCGUGACCAACAUCUAGGCUCCUUGGGACCCAUCUGAAUGCAAGCUGGGAUCAAUCCUUCGUGUAUCUGGACCCCACAGGAGGGAGAGUUCGAGAGCUGCCAGCUGCUGGGCAAAGGAGGAGAGCGGCUUGGAGAGGUGAAGCGGCUUGCUCAAGGUCACCUGGCAGAUGAGCCUUUCGGCUCCUUCCAGCCUUCUCCAGUCCCACCGCUUCUGAGUGAGCAGGAAGCAGCAUGCUGUGGCAGAAAGGGUAGACGCUCAGUGCCUGGCUUUACUGCAGUUCAUGGUCUAAUGUAGAGCCGGGGGCCUCCGAAUAGUAUGCUCAGAAUCAGCAAUUAGUUAGAUGUGGAACCUGAAGGUCAAAGAGAGGCAGUCUAGCUUGCAGUUGUAUAGCUAGCAUGUGACAGAGUCAGGAUCUGCACCCGUGUGGCUGUCUCCAGAGCCAGCAAAGCACACCCAACAAUCCAAACCAAGGUGGACCCAACCCGGGUCUACCUGGUUUGAGCAAGAGUUCCAUGCAUGGGGACUGAGGACUUCCCAGGGGACUGGAGGUCUGCUAGUACUCUCCAAAGGUGUGUGCAUGUAUUUUCUGAAGAGUGUUCAUACCUGCCAUCGGAUCGUCAGAAGAAACCAGGAAACAGGAACGGCUGGUCAGCCGGUUAGCAAAGACAGAAGUCCUCCCCCCUCGCCCCCCUGCACAUGCCCCUGUUCACCCCUGAAAGCUCACCAAGGUUAAGGCAUGAAGAGUGAUGACGUGACCUGUUUGUUAUGAAAUAUUGAAGUAACUCAUGCCAGGGGCCAACACAGAUGAGAUCAUAUCAUAAACAGGAAUCUAGUGAGGCCAGGAGCCUGGUGGAGCCCACCUGGGGAGCUGCCAGGUGGGGGGCAAA